rnacentral:rRNA from 1 species
CGCGGCCUAUCAGCUUGUUGGUGAGGUAAAGGCUCACCAAGGCAUCGACGGGUAGCUGGUCUGAGAGGAUGAUCAGCCACACUGGGACUGAGACACGGCCCAGACUCCUACGGGAGGCAGCAGUAGGGAAUCUUGCGCAAUGGGCGAAAGCCUGACGCAGCAACGCCGCGUGGGGGAUGAAUGCCUUCGGGUUGUAAACCCCUUUCAGCAGGGACGAAAUUGACGGUACCUGCAGAAGAAGGUCCGGCCAACUACGUGCCAGCAGCCGCGGUAAUACGUAGGGACCAAGCGUUGUCCGGAAUUAUUGGGCGUAAAGAGCUCGUAGGCGGUUCAGUAAGUCGGGUGUGAAAACUCAAGGCUCAACCUUGAGACGCCACUCGAUACUGCUGUGACUUGAGUCCGGUAGAGGAGUGUGGAAUUCCUGGUGUAGCGGUGAAAUGCGCAGAUAUCAGGAGGAACACCAGCGGCGAAGGCGGCACUCUGGGCCGGUACUGACGCUGAGGAGCGAAAGCAUGGGGAGCAAACAGGAUUAGAUACCCUGGUAGUCCAUGCCGUAAACGUUGGGCACUAGGUAUGGGACCAUAUCAACGGGUUCCGUGCCGUAGCUAACGCAUUAAGUGCCCCGCCUGGGGAGUACGG